GCACCCUUAGCUCAGCCGGAUAGAGCACUUGGCUUCGAACCAAGGUGUCGGGGGUUCGAAUCCCUCAGGGUGCG
rnacentral:tRNA from 1 species